ensembl:lncRNA
UUUUUUUUUUUUUUGUCUUUUUGCCUUUUCUAGGGCCGCACCCAAGGCACAUGGAGGUUCCCAGGCUAGGGGUCUGAUUGGAGCUGUAGCCGCCAGCCUACAACAGAGACCCAGCAAUGCAGGAUUGGAGCCACGUCUUAGACCUAUACCACAGCUCUUGGCAUCGCCAGAUCCUCAACCCACUGAGCAAGGCCAGGGAUCGAACCCACAACCCCAUGGUUCCUAGUCGGAUUCAUCAACCACUGAGCCACGACGGGAACUCCUUAAAGUAUUUUUAAGAAUACUUAGGAAUAUGGGGAAAUUUUCAAUGGAAAAGUUGGACCAAAAAGUUGAUUGGAAGAUUUUUUUUUAUUAGAAAUGUUCCAGCUGAUAAAUGAAGACAGAAUGAAAAAAAUUAAAACACCACCAUUUUUCAGCUCUUAGUAAACACAUGGAUCUAGACAAUGAUCAUGAAUAGUUGCUUAAAUCACAGAGAGUGAAAGAGACAUUAUUUACCUUAUUAAAGUACAAAAUACUACCUUUUAAAAGACUUGCCCAAAAUUUCAAAACUGAAUCUGAUCAAGCCUAGAUCUAACUACGAAUUUAUGGAAAUUACUGGCAGAGAAGCAUAUGAAACUAUACCAUGGCAAUGCAACCAGCAUCUCCUGGAUGUAGGAAACAGCAAGACAAACAGUUUGGUUUCUUUGGGGGAAAAAAUUGGUUUAAAGGAAUAAAAAGAGACAGUAGGAAGCUAAAGAUCAGAGACGCUUAAGCGACAUAACCAAAGAUCCUAAUUCAAGCAAAGACCAUAAAGUAUACAUUUAUGCCAGUGAAGGAAAUAUGAACACUAGAUUGUUGAUAAUAUUAAUGGAUAAUGAUAAAGGAAUUAUAAUUUUUUAAAUAGUUCCUGUCUUUUAGAAAAACAUACAUAUGCAUGGAUGAAAUGAUGAUAUGAAGGAUUUGCUUCAUAUAUCUGUAUGGGGUGGUGGGUGGGGGGGCAGAAAUAAAACAAGUGUGUCCAUGCCCUGAAAACUGUUGAAGCUGGAGAAUAAUAAAAAUAUGGAGAUUCAUUCUUUAUUUUUGUAUGUGAAAUUGUCUAUACUAAAAUCUUUUUUAAAAAAAUUUGGAGACUUACUAGCUUACAAAAAGGGCACAUAGCUCACAAAAGAGUAAGAUUUCCUGGACUAUAUUUUUUUAUGCUUUGUAAUGAAUACAUAACCUCUAAAUAGCAAUAAUAUAAUUAUUAUGCUACUGCAAAUUUUAACAUAAAUUGUCUUAUCUCUUUCAUUCUUUUUUAGCAUAUACCUCUGAAUUUGUAUUUGAAAAAUACAACAGUCAUGCCUGAGGGCAAGUGAAAAUACGCAUCUGGGCAUCUGGGUCUUCACUGCCAAGGGACUUUACCAUUCUCAGGACAUUAGACAAAUCUCCCCUAAAACAGUGGCACUGACCCCAGAGCCUCCUAGCCCAGAGUCUUAAAGAAAGUCUUCCUCCAGAAGUCAAACAUGGUCCUCAUUUAGUUCAGUCCUCUAGAAUCUUUUUCCCAAGUAACAUAAGAACAAGAGGAGAAAUGCUGAGGUAUUCUGGAGUCACUCAAAAUCACCUGGGUAGAUAAGCUUGUUUAUCCUUUCAUUCAAGGCACAUUUACAAAGUCCCUAAUGUGUGACAGGCUUCUGUAUCACGUAGCAGUAACAGUAGUCCCAGCCCAGUCAUUGUCUACUAGAGGAGAUAGAAAAGUAGAGACAGGUAGCAAAUAACCCUUAAGCUGGAUAAGGUCAAUUUAAUUCAAAAGAAGAAUCUGAUUUACAAUAAUCCCUUUUCUCAUUAUUGCCAGAUUACCUAAUUGCUUUAAAAGACAAUUAAUUCUUCUCAAGUGUUUGGCAAACAAUAGUGAGCACACACACACACACACACACACACACACACACACACACAGCCAUUUAGACACACAAAUUAAUAUUUUGGAAAUCUCUAGAUUUUUUUUUUUUCAGUAGAAAAAUCCCUAAAUAGACAGAAUGGGAGCUGUCCGUGAAGAGUAGUUGGCCUGGAAGUAGAGGUUGAUCCUAAAACCAACUGAGUUAGGAAGGAGGAUUUUGAGGUAUAACAUUAUCUCAAAUAAUGGAGCUUGGAUUUUCUUUCUAUAGGAUUGAGUUUCAACAGAUUAAAAAAAAAAAAUCUAAAAGUCAAGAGUACGAGGGGGCUUAUUAUCUAAGGAUCUCUAAUAAUAUCUGAGGAUCUUAUUAUCUUCCACAAGGAAACUUAAGCAUUUGUAUUGAGGGGGAAGGGUGGUGGAAGGUAGUCUUAACUUUUUCCUCUGUACACAUAAAAUAUCUCUGGAGGGAUACACAUGGAGAACAUUGCUUNNNNNNNNNNNNNNNNNNNNNNNNGAGGUUGAGAGCCUGGGAGAAGGUGGAAAGGAGAUCUUUCCCUUUGAAUAUGUUGUGCUUUUUAAAUUCUGGACCAUGUGAACGUAUUGUUUUAUAUAAUUAGUUAAUUUUUUAAAAGUAAAGACUAAAAUGGGAUCAUAAUGCCUAAAAAGGGGUAAAGAAAUUAGCAUCAUAGGGCCAUUUGCUCCUAAUGUAAGAGGAAAACUCAUGCAAAUCACUCUAUUAAGAAUAUAAAGGGCUAUUAUAAUUAAAUAAAACACAUAAUCCCAGAUUUUCUUUUGCAAUGUAGGUCCUUAUAAGCAAAGUUGGUGAGUUCUGAAUUAGAUCUAUAAGUUAGAUAACAGUAUUACAUCAAUAUUAAUUACCUGAUUUUAAUAAUAGUACUGCGGUUAUGUAAGAAAAAAGUCUGUUUUAAAAAUAAAAAACACAAAAACAUUGGGGUAAAGAGGUGUCAUGUCUGCAACUUGCUUUAAGUGUAGGGAGGGGGGUAUAGAGAAAGAAAAAAAACAAUAAUAAUAAAGCAGACAUGAUAAAACACGAACAUUUACUGGCAAGGAGUAGCACCUGGAACUUUCACACACUAGUGGUAGAAGUAAAAAAAGUUAUGACUGUUUUUGUAAACAGGCAAUUUUUGCAUAACGUUAAAAACAGACUUACCGUAUGACCUAGCAAUUAUACUAUACCCAAGAGAAAUGAAAGCAUUAGCGAUCCAAAAAAUUUGCACAAGAAUGUUCAUAUCAAUGUUAUUCAUAAUACCCCAAAGUGUAAACCACCUACACUUGUCCAUGAAUAGGAGAGUGGAUAAAAAAAUGCAUUUAUAAGUUAGAUACUGGAAAACGAUUCUCCAUGUGUCUCUUGUGUUUUGCAUGUGUUAUGAACAACAGCAAUGACAGCUUUGCUCCAGAUGAUCCUUUCAAAAAUGCUUGUGUAGCAGAUACGCUUGGUAGAUAUGUUUUCUCCAUCUGGAGUUGAGGGCAAAUUUUUUUGGUGCCCACUAUGAUAAAGAGAAUGUCUCCCUCCAGGACAAACGCAGGGAAGAUUCCCCUGCAGUCUCUUAUAAGGCUGAGGUCUCCUAAACUUGAGAUUGCUCAGCUGUGAUUCAGAUUUACUGUGCGGAUAGCAUUCACUGAGGGCAAUCUAAAUCUCAUGUGGAUAUUUGGGUUGUUUCUACUUGUUCAAAUUUAUUGAGGCAUAAUUUAGAGGCAACAAAAUCAUGUGCAUUUGAACUGGCACAAGCAUGAUCCCAUGGCAGCCUAACUUACCAGUUUGCAAGUGGGAUAAAAUCUCAGAUUCUUCACAGUUCUUGACAACGGAAUGCUGAUCAGUAAUAAAAAGGAAGGAAUCACUGAGACAUACAACAACAUGGAUGAAUCUCAAAAACAUGCUGAGUAAAAAAAGCCAGGUUCAAAACAAAUACAAUACUGUCUGAUUCUAUUUACUGGAAGCUCUAGAUCAAAGAAAACUAAUCUCUAUUAAUAGUAGUCAGUUCUGUAGUUGCUUAUUAGAAGAGAUUUGAAACAUGUUUACUAUAAAAGUGGAUGAAACUUUCUAGAGUGGUGGGACUAUUCUGUAUCUUGGUUGUGGUGAUAGUUGUAUGGGUAUAUAGAUUUUUCAAAGCAUAUCAAAUAAUACAUCUAAAAUGUAUAAUUUCGUUACAUGUAAAUUAUGCCUCAAUAAAGUUGUAUUAAGUAGAAACAGCCCAAAUGUCCAACAACAUAUGAGCAGAUAAACAAAAUAUGGUAUAUACAUGAAAUGGAAUAUUAUGCAGCGUUAAAAAGGAAUGAAAUGCUGAGACAUGCUACAACAUGGGUGAACCUUGAAAUCAUUAUGCUAAGCGAAAAAAGUCAGAUAUGAGAGAAUAACUGUAGUAUGAUUCCACUUAUAUGAGGUUCCUAGAAUAGGCAAAUUCAUAGAGACAGAAAGAACAACAGUGCUUACCAAGCCUGGGGAGUUGUUGUUUAAUGGGUAUGGAGCUUCCGUUUGAAAUGAUGAAAAAAUUCUGGAGAUAGUGAUGACAGUUGUACAACAGUACGAACAUUCUUAUUACCGCUGAACUUUUAAGUGAACUGUACACUUAAAAUGGUUAAAAUGAUAAAUUUUAUGUUAUAUCUAAUAUAUUUACACAUAUUAUAGGAGUGGUGAGAAAAAAUAAUAUCAUUCUCCAGUGGUGUUCUGGUAAAUGUUUAAAACCAGCUAUGGGAGGGAGGCAGAUUUGUAGCAUUUACUAUUACAGAAGCACUCCCACAAUGAUUGAUUUCAAGCAACAGUGUGAUAUGACUGAAUGCAGAGUUGGGAAAAGAUGUUAACAACUGCCUUUCCAGAGCCAAUGGCUGGCUCAAGCACACUGUUGUCUCCAUUCAACAAACCAAGCAACCAUCAGUAUACAGUAAGUCUAAUAAAGACAACAAAGCAUGAAAGUAAACAAAACAAAACCACCUUACAACUAUUUAUAAAUAUGGCGGUAAUCUGUAUGCCAGCCAUGGAGAUUGUUAUUUACGGGCUGAUAUGAACAGGUACAAGGAGGUGCCAGUUCACUGAUCCUGCAAGCUGGAGGCAUCAAUUCUGGUUAGCUGGUGAUCAUUGCCAUGUCUUUAUUAAAUCUUAUAAAUCUCACUCCUGGUGCCAGCGAUGAGGAAAGGACAACAGUGGCAUUUUCUUUAAUCAUAUUGGUUUAGCUACCAAUCAGUAAUACUUUUAAAUUUUUUUAAAGAUCUUUACUGUCAUCAUACUCCCUUUGCUUUAGGAGUUUGAUACCUGGCCUUGCUCAGGGAGUUAAAGAAUUGUUCCAGUGAGAUGUGGUGUAGGUCAAAGAUGCGGCUCAGAUCCCGAGGUGCUGUGGCUGUGGAGUAGGCCAGCAGCUGUAGCUCCAAUUCGACCUCUAGCCUGGGAACUUCCAUAUGCCACAGGCAAUAAAAAGAAAAAAAAAAAAAAGAAUUAUCUGAGUUCCUGUAAUGUUGAUUCUGUGAGGUAACAAAUGGCAAUCUUUUUUUCUUUUUUAGGAGAGAAAACCUCUCUAUGAUUUUACUGUAUUUCAAUGGAUUCCUGAGAUGAGCAACCACCACACUGAUGUUUUGAAAGGAAACUAUGACAAAGAGGUCUUUUGGGGAGAAAUGUUGGUAAUUUAUGCCAUUACCUUGAUAACUUUAUUAGUGUGCCUGCAGAGUCUGACUCUUGCCCCCUGAAGGCUUAAAGGUUGCUUUAGGCAGGCUUAGUGUAAGCUUACAUUAACCAAGCUCAAAGGAGGUAGUGCCCAAAGGCUAAGUGUCAAUGUUUGGAUUUAUAAUAAAAAUACACCUGCUACAAAGACCUGAACACUCAAGGCAACAAGCCUAACGCAUUCUCUUCCAGUAGGCACACCUCCAUGUGAAGAAAGAAAGAAGUUGACCACACAGCUGAAUGGUGGACAUGGAAAUGGAACGAAAGGAACACGUUAACCUGGAUGAUUACUGCUAAGAGACUUAAUAGAGCCACUUUCAAAAUUGGGUUAGAUUUGCCACUGGGAAAGUGAUUUUGAAGUUUUCCAAGUAAGUUUCUUCCCUGGAACAGUGUUAAAUGAGUAUAGCCAAAAUUUUCUUUGGAAAUUUCCCUUUUCUUUUGUUUAAAAGGCCCAUCAAUUCCUCUUCUGAUUGACACAUUCUUCCUUUAGCUAUAAAAAUAAAUUCAAUUUAGGUUUAGCCUUGCAAUCCAGAAGUGUCUUUCUUUUUAAGUGAUACAUCCCUAACUCAAAUCCAACAGAUAUCGUUUUUGUACUUUAAAAAGUGGAAUUUUAUUUUUCCUAUCUAUAAUUUCCAGCCUCCCCACCACUACCACCUCCCACAUACAUAUAAACCUCACCAUUAAUUAUACAGUUAUACAAAACCAGAAUUAGUAAUUUUGAAGUUUCCUUUUGAAAACUCAGGCAAAACAAAUUUAUUUUAUUGUUAGAUAUAAGGUAUACUUAGGAGUUCCCAUUGUGGCUCAGUGGGUUAAGAAACCAACUAGUAUCCAUGAGGAUGUAGGUUUGAACACUGGUCUCUCUCAGUGUGUUAAGGAUGCAGCUCUCUACAAGCUGUGGCAAAGGUAGCAGAUGUCAGCUCGGAACCUGCGUUGCUGUGGCUAUGACACAGGUCUGCAGCUGUAGCUCUGAUUCAACCCCUAGUCCAGGAACUUCCGUAUGUCUCAGGUGUGGCCAUAAAAAAGAAACAAAAAGCAAAACCCAAAACAUAUACUUAGACACUCUGAGACCUUGUAAAACAUCAUCUUUAUAAUUUAUGAAUCUUAAUAAUUUUACUAUCACUAAAUCUAAAUUCUAAAUUUUGAUUCUGUUUUCAGUGUGGACAUCAGAUAAUAGAAAAUACAAAUGUUCUCAUUUGUCUUCACAGAGUACAGGAAAGGACAAAGAAAUUAUUCAAGCAAAAUAUUUUUUAGGUUAUGAAAAUAUAUACACACGCAUUCAUACAUUCACAAAUAUUUGCACAUUUAUAUCAGUUGCAACCUACAACCAGAAAAAUAUUUCAAAUUAAUGUUUUUCCUUUUCUGCACCAUGUA